rnacentral:rRNA from 1 species
AUGGAACUGCUCCAAUUCAAACAGGGUCAUCAGGGAGAUCAAAAUGUGAAUGAGAAAGCUCGCAGGCUUGUCCCUCUCCUGGACAAGGGUGAAGGCCAGUUUUCCAAUCCACCUCGGCCGCCGCUUGGUUUCGUCGAUGAUACUCGUCGAACAACGGUGUAUGGGCGUGACAUGGAGAGGGAUGAGGUCGUGCAGAUGCUCAUCCGGCCUUGCGGUGGGGCUUCACCAGAGAGGAUGCUCUCUCUUGUUGGUGAUGGAGGAAUUGGGAAGACAACGGUCACUCAGAUGGUAUUCAAUGAUGAAAGCGUCAGGCAACAUUUUGAUGUCAGAUGUUGGGUGUCAGUUUCCAGUGUCUCCAACCAAUUGGAGCUCGCAGCAGAGAUUUUAAGAUCAGCCCAACCAUCGUGGGUUGGAUCUAAUGAGAAGAAGAUGGUGGAUUUUCAAGUGCUUCAGUCCGAGCUUCGUCGAUUUGUGGCAUCCAAGAGAUGCCUGAUUGUUCUAGAUGGUGUAUGCAACAGAAAGGAUGAAAUCUUGCUGGACAUCCUCACUCCUCUUCUUUCAGCAGACAACAGAAGCAAAAUUUUGGUGACUUCUCGCAUGAUACCUCACAUGUUGGGUGCCUCACAGCUGUACACUGUAAAUCCUCUGGAUAUCAAUCACUGUUGGUCCCUGCUCAAGGAACAUGCUUUUCCCAUUGAUGGUAAGAAUGUCCAUCCAGAUCUGUAG